GACGACCAGGAUCUGAAAGCUAAGAAUGAGGAGCGAUCAGGGGCUAGUUUAUUAAGCGACGAAAGGUGAAAUUUGAUGACUCGCUUAGGAGAAACGGAGGCGAAGGCGCUAGCCAGGAGCGAAUCCGAUGAUAAAGGACGUAGGCUAGAGGAUCGAAGACGAUUAGAGACCGUUGUAGUUCUAGCAGUAAACGAUGCCGACGCUGUGCUAUUAGAAGUAGUGCGGAAGAGAAAUCGAGUAGGGCCUUGGGGAGAGUACAUACGCAAGUAAGAAACUUAAACGAAAUUGACGGAAGAACACCACAAGGAGUGGAGUGUGCGGCUUAAUUUGACUCAACGCGGGACAGCUUACCAAGCCCGACGACUGGACGAGUGUAGUACACGAUAGGUCGGAGAGUGGUGCAUGGCCGUUAACGACAAGUGGGGUGACCUUAUGGUUAAGUCCGGGAAGUAGUGAGACCCCUGCUAGCGGAAGACGAGACGAGCUAGGACAGGUACGCAAAGUACAGGAAGGAAGGGUCAAGAACAGGUCAGUGAUGCCCUCAGAUGGCUUGGGCUGCACGCGCACUACAGUGGUCACACGAAUAAAAGAAAGUAACAGUAAAGGUGAUUGAGAGGGAAUGAGCUUUGUAAGAGGCUCAGGAACGAGGAAUUGCUAGUAAUCGCAGACUCAUUAAGAUGCGAUGAAUACGUCCCUGUUCUUUGUACACACCGCCCGUCGUUAUCGAAGAUGGAAUCAGGUGCGAACAAGUGAAAACGAGUGAGUACAGGGUUCUAGAUGUGAUACAAGUCGUAACAAGGUAGCUGUAGGAGAACCUGUAGCUGGAUCAGWCCGAGAGAAACGAAAGAGAAGAGUUAGUUAGAAGAGUAAAGAAAACCCUGCGCAAGGGAUCUUUUGGUUCGGUGAGCGAGGAAGAGCGCAGCGGAGAGCGAGAUGUGCAGGAGCAGCGGCGAUGACGGCACGUGCUUGAAGAUGCGGUGGCAGGACAACCCCUUAGAUUUAAGCAUAUUAGUAAAGGGAGGAAAAGAAACUAACGAGGAUUCCUGUAGUAGCGGCGAGCGAACAAGGACGAGCCCAAAGUGUAAUUGACGGAGCAAUCUGUCGAGAUGUCAAAGAAGCACGGCGUAACCAGUCUGGAACGGAGGGCCUAAGAGGGUGAUAGCCCCGUGAGCGUGCAGGGAGAAGGAGUAGCAGUGCUCGGUAGUGCACUGUGAACGGGUGGCAGCGUCCAUCCAAGGCUAAAUAUAACACCGAGACCGAUAGAGGAUAAGUAGAGUGAUCGAAGAAGGAAU
rnacentral:rRNA from 1 species